rnacentral:rRNA from 1 species
UCUACGGGAGGCAGCAGUGGGGAAUUUUGCGCAAUGGAGGAAACCCUGACGCAGCAACGCCGCGUGGAGGAUGAAGUCUCUUGGGACGUAAACUCCUUUCGAUAGGGAAGAUAAUGACGGUACCUAUAGAAGAAGCCCCGGCUAACUUCGUGCCAGCAGCCGCGGUAAUACGAGGGGGGCAAGCGUUGUUCGGAAUUAUUGGGCGUAAAGGGCGCGUAGGCGGUUUGGCAAGUUUGGUGUGAAAUCUUCGGGCUCAACUCGAAGUCUGCAUCGAAAACUGCCGGGCUUGAGUAUGGGAGAGGUGAGUGGAAUUUCCGGUGUAGCGGUGAAAUGCGUAGAUAUCGGAAGGAACACCUGUGGCGAAAGCGGCUCACUGGACCAUUACUGACGCUGAGGCGCGAAAGCUAGGGGAGCAAACAGGAUUAGAUACCCUGGUAGUCCUAGCCCUAAACGAUGAUUGUUUGAUGUGGCAGGUACCCAAUCCUGCCGUGUCGAGGCUAACGCGAUAAACAAUCCGCCUGGGGAGUACGGUCGCAAGGCUGAAACUCAAAUGA